CGGACUGAACUGGACCUUGGAUCACCUUUGGGCCGUUUUCUUCAAGCAAACGAACGCUGUCUCGUCUCUGAGCGAUCCGCCGCUAUCCUUCUAACUUCUCUAAAACCCUCGUUGUACCCCAUCGCCUCUUCCUUCCCAGAUCUUACAAACCCUCUCCAUCAAAUCCUCUCCCACGAAACCUAAACCAUCGUAUAGCAUACGACGCCUGACCUCCGUCGGUUCAUGAAGCACCGGGUCCGCAAGAAGCCCUUGCGCACGAAAGGGGGCAAGAAGAAACCCCGAUCCUUCGGCGGCGACGACGACCCCUUUUUCGAAUCCGAUACCAAGUGGCGGGGCAAAGGCCGCGACGCCGACGACGAUGACGAUCUGGAGAGCCUGGAGAGCGACGACGAGCCGGCCAACAAUUGGGGGGAGGAGGAGGAAGCGGCGGAGCCAGAAGAAACCGCAGAUGAGAAGAGGGUCAGAAUGGCGAGAGAGCAUUUGGAGAAGAUUCGAGCCAUAGCGAGAAAGGUGGAGGAGGAGGAGGAAGGGGAGGAGGGGGACGAGGAGGAGGGACGGGAGGAGGGGGACGAGGGUAGAAGAGAUUCUUUGGUUGCGGAGAUUCUCCAAAAGGACCAGCAUGAGGACAGUGGUCGGGUUAGGAGAUUUCUUGCUUCGAGGGUUCUAAGUCCAGAAAUUCUCGACGAGUUCCGACUCCUACUGAAGCACCGGCAGUCUGUUACUGCUGUAGCUUUGGCUGAGGAUGACUCAAGGGGGUUUUCAGCUUCCAAAGAUGGAUCCAUUCUGCACUGGGAUGUUGAGAGUGGGAAAAGUGAGAAGUACUUGUGGCCCAGUGAGGAUGCACUGAUAUCACAUUAUGCAAAAGCACCUCAAAAUCCAUCUACAAAGAGAAGCAAGCAUGUAUUGACUUUGGCUGUUAGCUCUGAUCGUCGGUUUUUGGCAAGUGGUGGAUUGGAUCGCCACAUCCAUUUAUGGGAUACUCGCACGCGGGAACACAUCCAGGCAUUUCAUGGUCAUAAAGGACCGGUCUCAUGCCUUACUUUUAGGCAGGGAACCUCCCAGCUCUUCUCUGGUUCCUUUGAUCGAACAAUUAAGCUAUGGAAUGCAGAAGACAGAACUCACAUGGACAAUUUAUUUGGUCAUCAAAGUGAAAUAUUGACGAUUGAUUGCCUCAGAAAAGAACGAAUUUUGACUGCAGGGCGUGAUCGGACUAUGCGAUUAUGGAAAGUUCCUGAGGAAUCACAAUUGAUCUUCCGGGCUCCUGCAUCAUCUUUGGAAUGCGGCUGCUUUAUUAAUGACAGCGAAUUCUUAUCUGGCUCAGAUGAUGGUAGUAUUGAGCUUUGGAGCAUAUUACGGAAAAAGCCUACGCACAUAAUAAAAAAUGCUCAUGCUUCACCAAUAUAUCCUAAUGAUCAUUUGCAUAAAGAAGUUCUUGAAAGGAUGCCUGAUGGUGGUAAUACAGAAAAUGGCAUCUGCAAAUCUGAAAGCUAUUCGUCAGCCAACUCAUGGAUUAGUUCUGUUGCGGUGUGUAGAGGUAGUGAUCUUGCUGCAACUGGAGCUUCUGAUGGUGUGGUCCGUUUAUGGGCAAUUGAAAGUGAUAAUAAAGGCAUUCGGCCAUUAUUUAGUUAUCCCCUGGAACCAAAACAUGAGGUGGAAGAAAAAAGGAAAAAGAAAGGGGGAAACAAAUCCAGCAUAGCCAGUUUGGAGAAGUAUCAGCAGAUGAAAGCCAAUCUGGGAAAAAGUCCAGAGACUUAUUUUGAUGAAAUGUGGGCCAGUGCUAGCAUUUCUUGAUUUCUUUUCUUUCGUUUAGUUUUGUGUUCUGAGGAAAUUUGGUUUUAAGGUGUGUAUGCGUACAAGAGUACAAGGUUAAGUGACCUUUUUGCUCAAUUAAUAGCAGACUUGAUAAUAUUGAUAUCCUUAAGCUACAGAAAUGUUCAGAGACAUGAUCAAGCCAUUCAACUUCAAAUAUAGUUGCCUUGCAGAAAUGAUACUCAAAGUUGGAUUUAUAAAUUCACUUGCAUUUGCAAAAUCUGGACGUUUCCUUCUUGCUGGAGUUGGUCAGGAACCUCGUCUGGGAAGAUGGGGACGAGUUCCAGCGGCUCGGAAUGGAGUUGCAAUACACUCUAUCAGGUUGAAGGAAGAGUAGCCCUUUAGCGACCCAAAUUCUCAGCUCAUACCUUAGAAACAUACUGAGGAAUUCUCAUUUUGGCGAGUAUGACGAGUAAUUCCUCACAAUUUAGCAAAUCAUGUGUGCGCGGCCAAAGCCUCAGCAGUGUAGUAGUGCCUUGUCUUUGGUUAUUAUCAAUGUGCCUUUUUACUGUAUUUGUAGGUCAAGUGUUUUUCCACAGCUCAGCAUCAGAUGAGGCUACAACCAGCUUGCCUGCAUAUUUUAUUGCAGAAGCGUAAUUUUGUAUUACUUAUUCUUUUUCCAAGGAAGAAAUAUUUAUUUUUAUUGUUGAAGUGGCUUUGACUUGUACUCUAGAAUAUAUGAUCUGAUUCACUACAAUUUGCUUA